GGCUAAGUCCGUUCGGCGG
rnacentral:sRNA from 1 species